rnacentral:tRNA from 1 species
GGCCCUGUUGUCUAGCGGUUAGGACGUUGGCCUCUCACGCCGAAAGCCCGGGUUCAAUUCCCGGCAGGGUCA